UUAAUACUCUCUCCGUUCGAAAAUACUUGUCAAAUAAAUAAAUAAAAAUGAAUGUAUCUAAAACUAAAAUAUAUCUAGAUAUAUUCAUUUCUCCGACAAGUAUUUCUGAACGGAUGGAGUAUUAA
rfam:Triticum aestivum genome assembly, contig: Triticum_aestivum_CS42_TGACv1_scaffold_640759_T_3AL-0.118968_3B-0.079383